rnacentral:piRNA from 2 species
UCUUUGCUGAUGGGGACAUUGAGGCUCGU